UACGUAGGUGGCAAGCGUUGUCCGGAUUUAUUGGGUUUAAAGGGUGCGUAGGCGGCCUUGUAAGUCAGUGCUGAAAUAUCCCGGCUUAACCGGGAGGGUGGCAUUGAUACUGCAGGGCUUGAGUAAAGUUGAGGUUGGCGGAAUUGACGGUGUAGCGGUGAAAUGCUUAGAUAUCGCUUGGAACGCCAACGGUGAAAACAGGCUGCUGGGGGUGUGCUGACGCUGAGACACGAAACCCAGGGGAGCGAACGGG
rnacentral:rRNA from 1 species